rnacentral:rRNA from 1 species
AGAAUGAACGCUGGCGGCGUGCUUUACACAUGCAAGUCGAGCGAGGCGGGUAGCAAUACCCAGUCGAGCGGCGAACGGGUGAGUAACACGUGGAUCAUCUACCUUCAGGUGGGGGAUAACCCGGGGAAACUCGGGCUAAUACCGCAUAACAUCGUGAGAUCAAAGGGGCGCAAGUCCCGCCAGAAGAGGAGUCCGCGUUCGAUUAGCUAGUGGUAGGGUAAUGGCCUACCAAGGCCACGAUCGAUAGCCGGCCUGAGAGGGUGAUCGGCCACACUGGAACUGAGACACGGUCCAGACUCCUACGGAGGCAGCAGUGGGAAUUUGCGCAAUGGGCGAAAGCCUGACGCAGCAACGCCGCGUGGAGGAUGAAGGUCUUUGGAUUGUAAACUCCUGUCAGCAGGAAAAGGGUAUGGCACACCAGAUCAUUGAUUGUACCUGCGAGACGGAAGACCCCGGCUAACCUACUGUGACCAGCAGGACCGCGGUAAAUUCCGUAGA